GCCCGGUGCUCGGUUUGUAGGCAGUGUAAUUAGCUGAUUGUACUCUCAUGCUUACAAUCACUAGUUCCACUGCCAUCAAAACAAGGCACAGC
ensembl:miRNA